rnacentral:rRNA from 1 species
UACGUAGGGGGCAAGCGUUGUCCGGAAUUAUUGGGCGUAAAGCGCACGUAGGCGGUUUGUUAAGUCGGAUGUGAAAUCCCUCGGCUCAACUGAGGAAGUGCAUCCGAAACUGGCAAGCUUGAGUACGAAAGAGGGUCGCGGAAUUCCCGGUGUAGAGGUGAAAUUCGUAGAUAUCGGGAGGAACACCGGUGGCGAAGGCGGCGACCUGGGUCGAUACUGACGCUGAGGUGCGAAAGCGUGGGGAGCAAACAGG